CCUCUCCAAACUGCCAGAGGCAUCUCGUGCUCAAAUAGCUGGCACUUGCGAAACCGUAAGUAACAGUAUUUAAGCGUAGAAUUCUGAGGGGUUGAUGAUCUUUUUCUCUCCAUACUAUUUGCUGAAGAUUCCGAUCGGAAUUUUCCAAUUCCACUCGACGGAAUAACUUCUCAACUUCACCCGCAAUGAUAUACUUGUAAAACUGUGCUCGAAUUAGUAUGGAGAAAGGGAGUCCUGAAUUUGAGGCCUCGUCAUUUGUAUGUCGUUGACACUGAGACCAGAGGUAGUGCGAGCCAACGCAUUAAAAACCACUCUAAUUUUUGUGGUCUCGCUGUCUUCCUUGAAAACUGGAUGAUGAGCUUGAUUGAAGGAGUCACCCAGACAAUCAGGUUCAAGCUAAUAAAAGAAGAUUAGCUCCCACAUUCAAGUAGAGUCCGAACUGUUUCAGAUUGAGUAGUGUUUGGAUUUACAACUUUGAUCAAGGCGGUAGAUAAAAGAGCUUGGUUGAUUGCUACAAUUGGCUAGUGUCUCAGUGGAAAUAUUGGGGUUUGUUAAAGGAACGGCUCCGUUUGCCUUAAAAGAAGGGCAGUCGUAUAUCCUAUGGUCAGCAGAAUUACAACACGGGCAGAGAUAUGAU